AAUAUUGGACAAUGGGUGAGAGCCUGAUCCAGCCAUCCCGCGUGCAGGUAGAACGCCUUAUGGGUUGUAAACUGCUUUUAGACAGGAAUAAACCACUUUACGUGUAAGGUGUUGUAGGUACUGUAUGAAUAAGCAUCUGCUAACUCCGUGCCAGCAGCCGCGGUAAUACGGAGGAUGCAAGCGUUAUCCGGAUUUAUUGGGUUUAAAGGGUCAGUAGGCGGGCAAAUAAGUCAGAGGUGAAAUCCGACAACUUAACUGUCGAACUGGCUUUGAAACUGGAUGUCUUGAGUGAGAUUGAAGCAGCUGGAAUGUGUAGUGUAGCGGUGAGAUGCAUAGAUAUUACAAAGAACACCGAUAGCGUAGGCAGGUUGCUAAGUCUUUACUGACGCUGAUGGACGAAAGCGUGGGGAGCAAACA
rnacentral:rRNA from 1 species